GAGCUAGCAAGUGACAAAUCAGAAACAACUGACUGACCCCCUGGGCAAUCCUAAGCCAAGCUUAAGUCACCAUUGGUACAUGUGAGACACAGGAAAUGAUGUAAAGAACUGCCUAUAUAUUUCACGUUACUUCCUGUAAUUGUUCUCUUGGUGGUGUUGGGAGCUCUUGGCAGCAUUUGGCCUUUGCUGCUUGGCAGUGAGGCUACUGGCAGAAGCUUUGUAUCUUGCUUUAGGUGAGGCUGUCUUCCCUGAGCAACCUUGAUGAAGCCCCUGAGACAAAGAGGAUUUUGAACUCAGGUCUUCUUGCCUCAAGACCUGGAAGUUCUAUUCACUAUACCACAAAGCUGUUCAAGGAGAACUGUACAAGAUGAGAAAAUGGAUAUUGACAGACUAAGUCAUCCACUUAGGGUUGGAUACCUAAUAGAUAAGAGAGACAAAUGACAUCUCUGAAGGGGAUUGGUGGAAAGAAGGAAGUAAAGGAAGUAAACAUGGAGGAGGAGAAAAGAAAGAUUAAAAAAGGGAGAGACUGACACAAUUCUAAGACCACAGGGUUCUCAAAUCUUGCAUAAUUUCAAAGCACCUAAAUAUUAAGGUAAGGGAAAUUCCUACACUGGAAGCUACCAUUUUUUGAUGAAAUCACAGAUCCUUCUCACACUGACAUUCUUUCUCUGUCUCUGCCUCACCUACCAGAACCUACUACACAUGGAAUUCAUCCCUAACAUUGCUUGCAAGCACAAUUUCCAAUGUAGUAAUAAGGGAAAGAGGAGUCCAGAAAAAACUGGCAUUCCUAGAGGUAAACAGGCUAGAGAUUUCCUGCUAAGUCUGGAUUCACAGCAGCGAAAGAUACUGAUAUGGAUUCUAGAAGGAAAUAGUGAUGGAUGUGUUGACAUUAGUUGAUGAAAAUCAACGGAAAAGGGGAAACAUUCUGACUGUGUGACUCACAGAGCCCAUCAGCAUUCCUAAUGAGAACAACUGGCUCAUGUGACUGCAACUUAGGUGACAAUAUUAAGUAACACAACUUUGUUAGGCUGAGACCAGUAACCUGGCUUUGGGUCACUAUUAAUGGGGUCUGGAAGCAUAAAAUCCUAGGAUCAUCAAUUUAGAGCUAAAAGAGGACCUAAGGCAAAUUACUUCAACUCUCUACUUUUCAAGAUGGGGAAAGAGAACCAGAGAUGUUACAAAAUAAGGCCACAUCAUUCAUAAAUGUUGAAAUUCAAAAACAUUGCUUCUUAUUGCAAUAAUUUCAGCAUAGUGUGUCCCUUUAAUCCAUCAUGUAUUCCUGAAAAGUCAUUAUUAGGAAAAUUACACUUGAUAAAUUGCUUUAUAGACAUCAUCAAUUUUGAGCAAAAGAGCAAUUCUAGUGCCUCAUAUACUACAGUAUACAAGCGUGGAAAUUGCAGUUCAGAGGCUAAAUAACUUAGUAGUGGUCACAGGGCUAGUGCUAGGAGUGGAAUUUUUAACCCAAGCCUUCCUGACUACAAGUCCAGCAUGCUAUGCUAUGUUGGCUUCCAAUCACUUUCUAUUUAAGGUACAUAAUGAAAAUGAGUUCCUUAUUCAUUGACAUGAUGUAUCUCCCAAUAGUAUGCAAACUUCUUGAAGGCAGAGACUUUCAUUUUUUUUCCCCCUCAGAACAGUACCUUGCUGAUAACAGGUACUGUAACUCAUAUUUGAUUGGAUUUUCUAGCAUCCCAGAAGCAGUCUUUCCAAGCAUAGGUUCUACAUUAAGUAGCCUUUUUAUUAAAAUGGACAAACUCACAAAAGAGGGGCACAUGAGAGGAAGGUCAAAAAGUUAACAAUAAGGGAGGAGCCAUUACUAAUGUUUUAACAUUAAGAAAGGCAGCAUUAUCUAAGGGAAGUCUUCUGAUUUGUAAGUCAAAAAAAAAUCCCAUGGAUUCAAAUUCCCCUAUUGACAAAAAUUAGUUGAGUGUCCAUAGUCAAGUCACCUAAAUUCUCUUACUAUGCCUCAGGAAACUGAGGCAGAUACCAUUAGGCUUUAGGAAGCUGAGGCAUAGUUGGAGAGUUUCUGUAAAAUGAAAUAAAAAUAUCUGUAAUACUUAACUCACAGGUUAAUUAUAAAGAUCAUAUGAUGUUAGGUAUGAUAAGUGCUAUAUAUAUCCAAUUUUUAGCAUUUUUCUUAUUAAUUUUACUAAAAGCUAAAGUAACAUUUUAAUAAUGCUGUCAGUUUUUCUUUGCCUGCUCACCAAUCAAAUAGCUACCUAUACCAACUUUUCCUUUUCCUUUUAUAUGAAUUCAAAUAAUAGUGUAUUAAAUGGGCACAUGUUACCAUUUUCAGAGUUGGGGUACCUAUCAAAUUGUUUUAAACUUUCUUUUUAAAAUAACCUUACAUUCCUUCCUAGAAUAAAUACUGUAUAUUUGUUCCAAGGUAGAAGAGUGCUAAGGGCAAGGCAAUUGGGGUUUAGUGACUUGCCCAGGGUCACAUAGCUAGGAGGUGUCAGAGGCCACAUUUCACCCCAGGACCUCCUAUCUUUAGGCCUAGCUCUUAAUCCACUGAGCCACCUAGCUUUGCUCCCCCCGCCCCAGGUAAACAUUCUAAAAUAAACUGGGGGGGGGGAGCAGUUAUAUUUUUCUCCAGCUGGUUAAACCAAGGGAUUUACCAGUGACAAUCUGAUGUAUCAGCGGAUAAAUGGAAAUCAAUUAUCAAUCAGAUUCUCUGCUGGUAGAAAGGUUAGCAAGAAGUGAAAGUUAAAAUGACCUCUUCUUGCAAUAUAGGUUUUUUUUUUCUCUUUCACUCACAGAUAGCUUAUUGACGCAGUGAUUGGGGCAGAUUGGCUGCUUAUAUAUCAUUUUAAAGGGCUAACUUCAAUGAUAGAAUGUUGGAAUGUCAACACUAAUACCCUUCACCCAUCUGGGGAACAUCUCUGAUUCUGAUAGUUUUCCAACUUAAAAAUUUGCAAACUGAAAUUAAAUUUUUGCAACUAACAGCUGGACAUAGUCUGAGUACUGGCAGGCCUCUGUUUAUAAGAUGAUUCACACUACUCCCAUAGUAUAUACAGUCACUGCUGUGCUUGCAAUCCUUUGGAGGAUUAUUAAUAUUACUGCACAAAGAAGAAUUAAACUGUUGCUUAUAAUCAAAUUACAACAUUAGAGACUAGGCUUUUGUUAAGAAAUUGUCAUUGAAUGGCAUUUGAAAUGAAUGAAAAGAAAAGGACUUAAAUGACUUACAGGAUAUUUAGAGCUUUUCUAGCACACGAGUCCUAUUCCUUCAUUGCCCUCUGUCCCUUCUCAAGACACUCUUCAUGGAGAUAGAAUUUUAUAACCUAACCAGAAAUAUUCAAUAACUUGAAGAAUGCAGUUCCCCUACCCAACACUUACACAAAAAAGAUGCAUAGACACAAAGUCUCUUUUGGAGUUAAAUGUGAUUUGAAGCUUUUAAGAAUGCAGAUACAGAAUCUUUAGGUUCAAAAGAUUGGAAGGGAGGAGAGAGUACUGGCACUUGGGAAGAUUGGACAAAACCUGCAGCCUCAGCCCUUCUCUUGGUACCUGAUAAUUGGAUGAUAUUCCUAAAUAUGAUUUCUUGAAUCCAAUAAGCCAUCACUUCUCACAAAUAACAAAGUUUUGGUGAGUACAACAUCUUUAAAAAAUAACAAAUAUUUGAAAGCCUGUCAUAAACAACACACCAAGAAUCACUUUAAUAUGGUGAGCAUGGCAUAUUGAAUUCAAUACCAUUCAACAAACAUUUAUUUUUUUAAUUUAAAUUAAUUUAUUUAGUCAAUUUAGAACAUUAUUCCUUGAUUACAAGAAUCAUAUACUUUCCCUCACUUCCCUCCCCCUACCUUCCCGUAGCUGACGCACAGUUUCACCGGGCAUUACAUGUGUCCUUGAUCAAAACCUAUUUCCAUGUUGUUGGUGUUUGCAUUAGGAUGUGAAUUUAGAGUCUACAUCCCCAGCCAUAUCCCCUUGACCCAUGAAUCAAGCAGUUGUUUUUCUUCUGUGUUUCUCCUCCCACAGUUUUUCUUCUGAAUGUGUAUAGUGUUCUUUCUCAUAGAUUCCUCCAAGUUGUUCACUAUCACUGUAUUACCACUAAUGGAGAAGUCCAUUACAUUUAAAUUUACCACAGUGUAUCAGUCUCUGUGUACAAUGUUCUCUUGGUUCUGCUUCUUUCGCUCUGCAUCAACUUCUGGAGGUUGUUCCAGUCCACAUGGAAUUCCUCCAGUUCAUUAUUCCUCUGAGCACAAUAGUAUUCCAAUCACCAACAUAUGCCACAAUUUGUUCAGCCAUUCCACAAUUGAUUUUUGUACAAUUGGUUUACCUCUUUAUAAAUUUGAGUAAUUAGACCUUUGUCAGAGGUUUUUGUUAUGAAGAUUAUUUCCCAAUCUGUUGCUUCUUUUUUAAUUUUGGUUGCACUGGUUUUGUUUGUAACCAAACUUUUUAAUUUGAUGUAAUCAAAAUUAUUGAUUUUAUAUUUUGUGACUUUUUUCUAGCUCUUGCUUGGUUUUAAAGUCUUUCCUUUCCCAAAGAUCUGACAAGUAUACUAUCCUGUGUUCUCCUAAUUUGCUUAUAGUUUCCUUCUUUAAAAUGAAGUCAUUCACCAAUUCUGAGUUUAUCUUGGUGUAGGGUGUGAGAUGUUGAUCCAAACCUAAUCUCUCCCAUACUGUCUUCCAUUUUCCCCAGCAGUUUUUAUGAAAAAGUGGAUUUUGGUCCCCAAAACUGGGAUCUUUGGGUUUAUCAUAGACUGUCUUGCUGAGGUCACUUAUCCCGAGUCUAUUCCACUGAUCCUCCUUUCUGUCUCUUAGCCAGUACCAAUCAAUAAACAUUUAUUAAGUAUUAACUAUGUGCAAGAACCUAG